CAAUAGCGUAUAUUAAAGUUGUUGCAGUUAAAAAGCUCGUAGUUGGAUUUCUGGUUGAAGCGACCGGUCGGGCGUUGAUUCGUCUGCACUGGAGUCGGUUUUGGCCAUCCUCUAGGAAAGUGCGUCUGGUAUUAAGUUAUCGGGCGUAUGAUCCUGGUCUUUUACUGUGAAAAAAUUAGAGUGUUUAAAGCAGGCCUUCGCCUUGAAUACAUUAGCAUGGAAUAAUAAGAUAGGACUUUGGUCUAUUUUGUCGGUUUGCAGACCGAAGUAAUGAUUAAUAGGGAUAGUUGGGGGUACCUGUAUUGCGUUGUCAGAGGUGAAAUUCUUGGAUUUACGCAAGACAAACAGCUGCGAAAGCGUCUGCCAAGGAUGUUUUCAUUA
rnacentral:rRNA from 1 species